CCUACGGGUGGCAGCAGUGGGGAAUAUUGGGCAAUGGGCGCAAGCCUGACCCAGCAACGCCGCGUGAAGGAAGAAGGCUUUCGGGUUGUAAACUUCUUUUAUGAGGGACGAAACAAAUGACGGUACCUCAUGAAUAAGCCACGGCUAACUACGUGCCAGCAGCCGCGGUAAUACGUAGGUGGCAAGCGUUAUCCGGAUUUACUGGGUGUAAGGGUCGUGUAGGCGGGACUGCAAGUCAGAUGUGAAAAUUAUGGGCUCAACCCAUAACCUGCAUUUGAAACUGUAGUUCUUGAGUGAUGGAGAGGGAGGAGGAAUGCGGGGGGUAGGGGUGAAAUGCAUAGAUAGA
rnacentral:rRNA from 1 species